UGACUGGGCCUCUGUCUGCUGCUUCAGCUCCGCCUUUUCUCUGUUAGAGGCCUCCAGAGCAUCGGUGGCGAGCUUGUGGUGCUCGUUCGCGUGGUCAAGUCGCCGAGUUACCGCAGCCACCUGGCACUCCACUUCGUAGAGCUCUUUCUUCAGCCGCUCCACCUCUGCCUGCGAAGCAGCGAGCUGAACCUCAGCAGCUCUCUUCCCCUCCUCUGCCUUGGUGGCUUUGGCCUGGGCAGCUCGCACAGCGUCCCCAUAGUGCAUCGCCUCCUCGAGGCGCUUGGCAAGGUCCUCCCUCUUGGAGUUUAGAUCCUUCACCAAGCCCUCGAGCUGGAUACUUGUGCUUAGUGCCCGGGCCACACAGGCGCUGUUCGCCGCCACCAAGUCUUCAGCCGUGCAGGAGGCGGUGUGGUCCCUCCACUCUUCAGUCCAAUAUUUGUUGUGGACCACCGCCAUCGCAGUUGUCUCCGGAGGGAGAGCCUCCAACACCUCCCUUACGGGCUCCUCUUGGUUGGUGCCCAGGAAAUCAACCUCUUUGCUAGAGCGGGCCCUUUUUCUCCUCUACUGCCCCGGAACUUGUUCAAUGGGUACGGCCGCAAGGGGCGCUGUGCCCGGGGCAGCGACAGGCUCUGCCGCAACGGGGCUUCUCUCCGGAAGGGCCACCCCCGUAGGAAUAGUUGUUUGCCUCAAAACUGGGGGUGGCCUCGCCACAGUUGGGCGUCUGGGCGGGGCAGCACUCUUCUUGCCCUUCCUUCGGAGGUCAGCCUCCGGGUCCUCCUGAACCUCCUCCUCCAUCGGAGGCUGAAGCCUC
rnacentral:lncRNA from 1 species